CUGUUUCAAUUUGUUGAGGACAGAUAAAAUGAAUGUGGGUAUCAAUUCCCCCAGCGGUGAGAAUCAUCCCCUCCCCUGCAAUGGCUUCGGUACCCGGACCAAUAAUUAUAUCUACAUUAGGUUGAAUAUCGGGAUUUCCUGCUUUGCCUAUGGUGCAUAUUUUGCCGUCCUUGAUACCUAUGUCUGCUUUGACGAUCCCCCACCAAUCAAGAAUUAGAGCAUUGGUAAUGACUGUGUCCACUGCCCCAUCUGCCCUAGAAAUGCCCGACUGCCCCAUGCCAUCACGA
rnacentral:sRNA from 1 species